CUCGCUUAGCAUGGAAGAUACUAUGGGGACCCCGACUUAUGAGUCAAGAUCGCCGAAUGAACGUGCUCAGUGAUCCCAGAGAUCAAUGCUCACCGAACACACAUAUGCUGAAUAUUAAGAGUCUUACAUCCAAGUACCGAAUUAUUACAACACAUGACCGAAUGGUCAAGUUCACAAGGUAGGGCCUAUAAGGCCAAAUCACACUGAUAGAACUAGUAGCAGAAAUCUUAGGGCUAAGCGGGUGCCCAUGCCAUCAGCCUACACCAUGAGGCAUUCUGACUGGGAAGCAUCCUAGUCCGCAGGGCCGUCUCCGAAGACGUACACAUCUCCAAACUCCGGUCCUUCCAUGUCUGUUUAAUAAUAUAACAAGUGGCAAGCCAAUAAGUACUUUGAAUGUACUCGCAAACAACCCAUGAUAUGAACAACACAUUUGGUGGAAUAACAAGUAAUAUGCAGCUUGGGUGGAUUGCAGCUUAAAUGAAAAUAAACAUGGUCAUGGAUAUGAAACAUAAGCUAGAUGGUAUUUAUAAGAACAGGUUACAUAUAUCAAUAUAUUUGUUACGGGCUAAACACGACGGGUUCAGCCGAUAUGCCAAGUCACCAAACUUGGUCAUAUCCACUCUUUCUCAGAUACACCAUUAAACACACACACACUUGGUUUAUGCGGAAACGACUCGACGUAGUUUAAGCAGGAUUACCCAACUGUCCUUGAUUGCGGACACGGCUAUCCAAAUAGUUUGACACUCUCUAGAGGUUGUACGCUGUACCCACGAGAUCGGGGAAAGUUCUGUGGCAUCCACGACUCGUGGUAUAUAACAUACUCGACGUAAGUACCCAAUCAAUGCCUUUCCCGUGACGAUACUAGACACAGAGAUCCACUCGAUUGGUACCGAGCCCACAUGAUGUACGUCUUACGAGCACCGACUCUCUACCGUAUCAUCCAUGAGGGGACCAACGGUGUGCCCGGAGCACGUAAAAACGGCAUAGUCGCUCUACCUGGCAUGACCCGGUCACGAGAGUGAUCAUACAUCACUCCCGCCACUAGUAAUGUGGCUCUUUGCUAGCACCGACCAGAGUAAUCAACAAAGGGGUAACAUGGUCGCACAUGUAAGGUUGGGACGGUCCACACAUCAUAAAUCUACUCCCAUUUCCGAAACCAUACACACACAAAAUACCCGGUGCACCACUUCACCAAAAGUGGCCACCUAACUCAUCAUCACCCUCGGGCAUUAGAGGCAUCCGACGGGGUUUUCAUCAACCUCUCAUUUAUACCAUCACCAUGAUCAUGCUUCUACUGUGAUUAGCUCUACUUGUAAACAUGAUAUUAGCGUGACCCUCAUAGGUGGUAGGAUCAUGCUCAAAAUGCAAGUGCUCCGGAGGAGCCACCGGUAACAUCUCUUCAAUGAUUUACCGAUACUUACGAUGACAUGCAACAGAAAUAUUUCUCUACUAGCAUGCAAUAUAACAUAUGCUCAGACAUGGUCAAAGGGAUGCUUGCCUUGAUCAGCUAAGUAUCCAUGGUUUUCAGGGUCUUCAAGUCCAACUCCUUCGUCAAGCGUGGUUUCUAUCGUCGUAUUAAAUAAAAGGCAAUAAGUAGCUCACUCAAAAACAAAUCACAAAAUCACUUUAAAAAUGUUGUUUAAUUCUGAUAAAUCCAUAUUGUUAUUUUAAAAAUAUUUGUCUCUGGUUUUAGUGAACGAAUUGUUUUUAAAAUCGAUUUAACAAAAGCAAAACUAUUCCAAAUAGCAUUUUUAAUUAUCAUAAAAAGAAAGUUGUCCUUAAAAUUUGUCUAACACUUCUAUUAGAUACUCCUCAUUUUUAGAAGAAUAAUGGUGGAAGAAUCAUUAAUCUCCACUUGUUAACCAAAAGAAAAAGGGCAAUAGCCCUGGCGUGGCUCGGCCUGGGGCUGGGCCGGCCCAGAUGGCCAGCCAUCCAGCCUGCCCAGACACGUGCGCCGUCAGGUUUGAACCUGACGCGCGGGCCCGUGCGGUCAGCGGCUGCGGGGCGUGAGGGAGAGGUGGAUGGGCCAUCGACAGGUGGGGCACACCUGUUGGGGUCGUCUCCCACCUCUGGACAUAGAGGAGGAGGAGCACGCCGGCGUGGCUACCGACGUCCUCACGCCCUAACAAAGGCGGGAAUGGGUCCAGCUCGUCGUCGCUUACCUGCUAGUGGUCGAGUCGACGACGGGGGGUCCUGGAUCACCGGUGACGAGGUGGCCGCGGCGGAGAGGUUUCAGUCAACGGUGGGGAUGGUGGCUACGGGCACGAAAUCGAUCGGGGGAGUAACGGGAAAGUUUCCUGGGAUCACGGGGAGUGCGUAGGAAGGCAGAGGGACGUGAGAACUGACAUGUAGCCGGAGAUCGACCUGAGCUUCGAGGCGGAGGGGCCUCGAUUGAUCUUGAGCAUCGGGUCUCUUAUUGCUCAAUGGGGUGGCUAGGAAGGUGAUUGGGGUCUAGGUGGAGUGGAGUGAGGGGUGCUGGAGCAAGGGGGUGGCCUUAUAUAUGCCUGCGACGGUGCACCGGGCGGGAAGCUCCGGUGGUUUCACCGUGGCGUGCAGAGGGGCUCAGAGAGAGGUUGGGGUCGAAACCACGGUCUUAGUACGUGGUUUUGGACCUUCGAGCUAACUGCGAGAGAGGGGGGAGCGAGGAGUGGCGUGCCUGCAUGGUCGCGAUCCUCUGGCCGAACCUGGUGCGCAGGGAACGCGUCACACCGGCUCUCAGUGCGAGAAAUGAGGGGCACUUGGGGCUGGCUAAUGUAGAGGAGUUGUCGGGGGAGAGGAGAGACACUGCAAGGAGGAUGGAACUGGUCGUGGGAGGUCGCCCCCACCUCGGUUGCUCUGUGUAGCGCACCCAGAGCGCAGCUUUGGCAUGCCACGACAUGUUGGCGCGCUUUGGGGUGCCUUGGACGCGUCUGGCGUGUCCUGGGCCCUUGCUUGGAUAUGUGUAGCCGUUUUAAUCCUGUGGGAGCGUCGUCUAUUCAAAGGAGGAGAGGAAAACAGAUGUUGUCAGCCUUGGGCUGAAGCUUAGAUUGGGGUUUUCUAAUUUUCUACUUACAACCAGAGAAGAGCCACUUGACUGGAGUUGGGCAUUAAUGCUGGCCACCUAAUCUAGGAGUUUGAGAGAAAGGGAAUGGGUGUAGCUGGCGUUAAGUGGGGUUUUGCCAUAAUGUCAGAAGGUGCUCGACAGUGGUUUGGGGUGGUUACACUCCACCACUGGCUAUGCAAUUUUCUGGCUGUCUCUUCGACCAUAAAAAGACGUUGAAGCCUUGGUAUGAUUGGCAUAUACCGAAGAACACUAACUACGAUUUUGGUCUGCCUCUUCUCACCCGUACCGUUGUCUACCACAAGAUACCUACAAGACUCGCAACUGGGAGAAUAGUCCAAGUGUGCAUUCUCCUUCCUAAUUAAGACACAUCCUUUCUCACAUGCAUCUAUCUUCUCAUAGGGCAUCUUAAGUACAUGAAGUAUUUUGUCCCACUGGUACAGGUUUGCUGGCAUGACAUGGACAUUGGGUAGAAAGCGUCCAAAUAGUGUCAUCAUCGCGUCAUAGUAUUCUCUUCCCAAGUUGAACUCAGCCAUCAGAGCCAUUACUUGUGCAAUGGCAUCCAGCUGACAAAGAUUAGUGUGCUCGUGGAGAGGAUGUUUUGAAGACUCGAAAAUUUCAUAGAAGGCCUUUGCAGAUUCCUCCAUCUCAUCUUCCGAAUCCCGAGCAUCAUCAAAGUCUUGCACCAUGUCUUCGAUCCUGGUACCAUGCUCGUCGGUGCGACGACGAACCACCUCAGCUCUGUGCGUUGUAUAGACUCACCAUGAAAUGUCCAAACUGUAUAACUAGGCUUAAAACCCCUCCUCUGCAGGUGUUUAAUCAUUACAACAUAUGUCCUCUUUUUAUAAUUGUCUCCUUCAGUACAAGGGCACCAGUUUGUUUCCUGGCCAUUUGCAAAUGCGGCUUUCACAAACUCCUUGGUUUUUAGAAACCAUUCUUUCGUCAUCUCUUUCUGAGUAGGGUGACUGGUGUACAUCCACGCACGAUCACUCAUCUUGCCUAGUUACGAAACACACAAGAAAUAUAUUUAUAUAUAAAUCAGCAUAUAUAUUCAUCAGUUAAUCAAGUUCGCUAGUUUUAUUAUGUCCAUGCAACCUACACGCUAAUAGGUAAAGAUAGGUCCUAAUCCCACCCGAGUAUGUGUAGAUUGGGUUCGUUUUCCCAUGCUCUGGUCCGGAUCCAACGCAAAAUUUUGGCAGCACCUCCCCACUGUUCUCCUGAUACACGUCUCCGCAAUAAACAGAGAAGAUGUGUAUCCGAAGAACAACAGGGAGGCACUGAUGAAAUUAUGCAUCGCAUCCGGAACAAAGCAUAUGGGAAAACAAACCCAAUCUACACAUACUCGGGCUGUCCAUGGAUAACGUUGGACAAUUCGGAAGAAUCACGGUUAUAAAUAUAUGCAAAUGCAUGCAUAUUUAUAACUGUAACCCAUUCGAACAGGAGACGCAUACUGGUCACGCAUACUGAUAAACUAAUUUACCUAUAUCUAGCAAGUUUCAUCUGAACACCGACACAGAGCAAAUGAAGGGCCGAGGAGGAGAUGACAUUUGUACUAACCCACGAAAGCAAGGGCGGAGCUCGUAGAAGGCACAAGGAGGUCUUCGCCUAGCAGACCUCACAGCGACGAGACAACUGCACAUGUAAAUCCAUCCGAUCACACAAAUAUUUUGUGUUCACCAAUAAAAUCGAAAAAUAUAUGACCUAACACAAAUAUAUGACCUAUAUAUAUGUCAUUUAGGAUUCCAUCAACGUCGAGGAACCCCCUAACUCACUCGUCCCCAGCGCCCUUAGGUAUGGUGACGAACCGUCGAAGGGUCAACACGCCAACUAUUCCGGUUCGGGAGACCUCUCUUCUCUGCCUCUCCUCUCCUCUCCGAUCAUUCUCCUAGUGAGGUCCAUUGUCGGCGACCUUUGGAGGCCGAAGAUCACCUUUUCGGUCAACAAUAGGACGAAGAGGUGUCGAGGAUCAGGGGUUGGGGUCAGUGUCGUUGGGGGCGGCAUAUUCAUAGAUGCACGGAGUUUCGUGCCAGGGUGUCGUGAUGUCUUGUCGGGGUGUCGGGGCAUCGUGUCGGGGUGUUGGGGCCUCGUGUCGUGGUCUCAGGGUGUCAUUUGCUUCUUCAUCUUCUUUUUUUCCUCUUCUUUUUUUCCUCUUCUUUUUUUCCUAUUCUUCCUUUUCUUCUGCUUCUGUCUCUUAUACACAUCUCCGAGCCCACGAGACCCUCAGAGAAUCUCGUAUGCCGUCUUCUGCUUGAAAAAAAAAAAGAAGUAGAGUCCACGUAGGGAGAAGUGGGUGCUUUUGUAGACGUUAGAAUGAGGCGGACGUGGCGUAGUGUGAUAUCAUNNNNNNNNNNNNNNNNNNNNNNNNNNNNNNNNNNNNNNNNNNNNNNNNNNNNNNNNNNNNNNNNNNNNNNNNNNNNNNNNNNNNNNNNNNNNNNNNNNNNNNNNNNNNNNNNNNNNNNNNNNNNNNNNNNNNNNNNNNNNNNNNNNNNNNNNNNNNNNNNNNNNNNNNNNNNNNNNNGAAGGAGGGGGUCGUGGGGAAGAGGAGGGCGCGACGGUUGAGGAGACGACGGUGGUGGCGGAGGGGGCGGUGGUGGAGAAGGGGUGAGCUCUGACUGCGGUGGUGGAGUAGGAGGUACCGGGGAGGAGGAGGGGGCAUGGUGGAGGAGGGGGCAUGGGGAGGAGGAUGGCGCGGUGGUGGCGCACGGAGGAGGAGGGCGCGGCGGCGCAGGAUGGAGGAGGGUGCAGCGGUGAAGGGAGGAGGAGGGCGCGGCGGCGGUGGUGGUUUCGGGUUUGAGAGAAGGAUGGGUGGGGCGCGAUGACCGUUAGGGGAGAGAGGCGCGUUGGCGUGGGGGCGACGGCCGUUAGGGCGCAUCCUUUUUGCCGUCUGCCCCCCGAUGGCACAGAAGAGAAAAGCAGACGGCAAAGAGAGAGGCCUCUAGGGGGGAGAGAGGGGCUGUGAGGUGGGCUUCCCGUGCUCUUUGACGUCGGCCUAAAUGCCCUUUGUCGUCAGCUGGCGGACGACAAAGAGCUGGCUGAUGGCAAAUAGUAUCUUUGCCAUCACCUAGCUCUUUGUCAUCUAGUUUUUGGUAGCUGAUGGCAGAGAGUCUUUGCCAUCAGCCAGCAGACGGCAAAGCAGCAGCAGAUGGCAAAAUCUCGGAUUCCAGUAGUGUAUAUAUAGUGGAGGGUUUUAGGGUUUUUGCAACUCAAGCGUUUGUGCAGCCCUCUCUCCCUCACGACGAAGCCCUGCUGGAGUAGCUCCACCAUCAUCACCGCCACGCCGUCGUUUUGCCGGAGAAUUCAGAUACCUCUUCGUCUCUCUUGCUGGAUCAAGAAGUCGGAGAUCGUCAUCGAGCUGUACGUGUGCUGAACGCAGAGGCGUCGUCCGUUUGGCGCUAGAUAGGGACGAAUCAUGGGAUGGCAGCGAUUUGGAUCGCGAAGACGUUCCACUACAUCAACCACGUUUCUUAACGCUUCCACCUUAGCGAUCUACAAGGGUAUGUGGAUCCGAUCUCCCUCUCGUAGAUGAUCAUCACCAUGAUAGGUCUUCGUGUGCACAGGAAUUUUCUUUGUUUCGCAUGCAACGUUCCCCAACAAUCUGUUAAUCUAGGGUUUCACUGGUUAUAUAUAGGUAAGAGGGAUUAGGCUAGGGACUAACUCGUCCCUACGAUCGCAAUCGUACGGCAGGGAAAUAUAGGCUAGGAAGCUCAAUUUAAAAGGGGAUGAUAAUUUAGGGUAUUACGGGGUUGAUCCGGAACCAACGGUCACGACCGCAUGAUUCGUGUUGCGGUGGAGUUUUCGGACUAGGUUGCGCGUAUGUCGGUACAUUGUGUAGAGAUGCUAGGCGGAGAUGAGAGGGAAAAAUGGGCAAGCCGGCGACAAAGUUUUAAAACAUCAAAACGUGCGACAAUAACUGAUGUCCGUGCCGCUACGGUCGACCGUUCGGGUAUCAAACAAACUCCGAUUGCCGCAAAAUUUGGCACGUGGCCUACCUGCACUAAAAUAAGAUAGCACGCCAAAUUUCAACCCAAUCCGAGAAUAUUUUUCACACACUUUUAAAAACACGAUUUUAAAGAGGUCGCGGGCGCGUGCGUGUGUGGUUGGACUCUAAACGGUCGACGACACGAACAGAGAGAACUGUCAACUACGAACGGAUGCAUGUUUUGAAAACUGCCAGCAACGGAGUAUCGAUGCAAUGCAGAUGAUGCGCAUGAUGCAAUGAUGAAUGCGACAGAUAAUCUAAUCGCACGACAACAAUGGAAUAAGAGGGGAAUCUUAUGGAGAAUCGGCCUCGGGCUGUCACAACUCUCCUACACUAACAAGAGAUCUCGCUCCAAGAUGUAAGAAUCAAAAAAAGGGAAGAGAAUGAGAAAUCAAGAGGUAAACUUAGUCCCUUCUCUGAUGAACGAGUGAAACCAACGAUCCUUUCAGGUUGCGAAGAGAAGAAGAAUGAUAAGAGAAACAAGCGAGAAUUCACACAAAAUUUCGGCAGCACUUCGAUAGGAAAGAGGGGCAAAAUUGAAGAAGACGGGAAGAUCUUGACAAGAUUCACAACAAGCUAACGGAAUUGAACAAAGGAGAGAACAUGAUCUUGAUAUAACAAGAUGAUAGAUUUAAGAGAGCAACAUCACAAAGCCUCCAGAACAAGAAUAGAAACUAAACCAUUGGGAAGAAAGAAUGAAGAAGAAAAUGGAAAUUACAACCACAAUUGAAUUUGGCAAGCAUCCUUGCAAUAAGAAUUGAAUGGAGUUUUUGGAAAACCAACUAUGAAAAGAACAAGCUUGUGGUGCACUUAAGAAAACCAUCCCAAAGUUAUGAGUUGACAAACAGUCACUAACAGAACAAGGGUUGAUUGGGAGCAACAAGAUAUGGACCACUUCUUACAACAAGAGGUUACAUUGAGAGCUUAGAUCAAGAAUAAUCACCGUAAUAACAACAAUCCUUAGACAAGGCUUUAGGUGAAAUCUAACCCAAGACAACUUCAAUGAAGAAUCAAGGUUUGAAAAUAUCUCAUGGUCAUAGAAUCGGUCGAUCUAAAUAUCUCAUUCUUGAAACAAAUUUUCUUCGAGACUCCUUCACUAACAAGAAUGCAAUAACACCACCUCAAAGGAUAAAGGAAAGAAAAAGGUGGAGCAGCUGGGAAAAGAAUUGAUAUCAUGAGCCACUCCGGAAGAAGAAUUGAAAUCACUAAGAAACAAGAAUAAGAAUUAUGUUAUGGUUAUCCUUCAGCAAGUUAAAUUGAUGACAAGCAACGGAUUUAGCAUACCACUUAUUCUUCUUGAAAAGAUUGAGGAGAGAUAUGAGCACAAACUUGAAGAAGUCUUGAAGGAGACACCGGUAAGAAUUGGAAUGAAUGGGGAUAACAAGAAUGAACGGAGAUAUAUGAGAAUGAAGAGACCAUGAUCCACCUGAGUGAAAACUUGAACAAGGCAUCAGAAUAAUUGAGAUACAAAUGAAUAGACAACAAUUGAGAAGAAUUUGAGGAUGAAAGCUGAAAGCUGAGAAUGAAGACCCCCCCCCCCCCUUCUGAAAUGAUGUCCUUCGGGGGAUAAAGAAGUGAAAACAACACUGAAAUACAGAUAGAUAUCAAAGGAAUUACUUGCGAUCGAAAACAAAUGAGAGGAUAUCACGAAGCUGAGAUGACAAUCUUCACAAGAAUGGAGCAAGAUUUAAGAGAAACUCCCCUUAGGACUUCCAAGAUGAGAAUGAUGGCAAGAAACACCAUCAAGAAUUACUAAGACACUCCUGAAUAAUGAAGAAUGAAAGGUUGAGCCAAAGAUGAGAAUAACUUCGAAUGGCUCUUGGAUAAUGAACAUGACUGAUGGAAUUCAUACUUAUGUCAUACUUCAAAAGAUAUGAUAUCUUCAAGAAAGAUUACAGAGUCAAAUAAGAUCCUGGGAAAUCCUGUGGGUUAUGGGCCCACUAAAAGAAAACACCGUUGAAACAAUUGAUUAGAAAAGAGAGAUUGCACUCAUACCAUUGAAAACUUGAUGAAGUAAGUCCUUCGAAAUAAUUGAAAGGAUUGAAAACAAGAAACUUCUGAGAUAUCUUCAACACUCCGGAUAGAAAAGAGAUAGAUGAAAAAUAAAAAAAAUACUUGAUAAAAAUUUCCAACAUGGGAAUAAAUUUAAAGGAUGAAAAGGAUAUGAUGAACAAGAAGAGCUGGAAUUGAAUUCACUGGAAAAGAGAACAAGAAUGAAAAAUGAUGAACUUAGAACUCCUGAGAAUCUUCACAAUGAAUCACCGGGUACAACAUAGAAGAGAAGAUAGCAAAAGCAACACUGAAAAGAAAGGCACUUGGAUGAUAAUUUAUCCUUUGAAGGAAAAGGGUGGGAGGGUGGGAAAAACAAAGACAACUUGGGACAGAUGAGAUGAAAUCCGGAAAAAAAUGAGAGAUUGAUCUUGCAAAUAAUUGGAAAAGAUAGAAGUAUCUUGAAGAGAAGCACUCCAGUUGAAAGGGGUUGACAUCACGACUCCGGUUGAAAAGGAAUUGAUAAGACAACUUGAUUGAGAAAAAGAAUCAGCAUUCCCAUAGAAAUAUGAGAACACCUCCUAGAAAGAUAUGAAUUCACCACUUGACAUCGAAGCAACAUGAAUUAACAUAUUCCAACAAAACAAAGGAUGAGGCUUGCGAAACAAGCCGGAACAAAUACAUGACAGAGAUUUCGUCUGAUAUUUUCGUGGAUAGGAUCGCACAUGCUCUAUCCUACAGUAGCCAUCAUGGACAUGGCAAUGCAUACGACAUACGUAGCAUCCCCGAGUCGUAGCAAGGUACAAGGACUCUUUAAGACACAACGAGAGCUACUAUAAGACGACCGUGAACAAACGAAUCCACUAGAUGUCGAACCCGAACCUCACAUCGUGCAUCUGUUGGAAGAUUGUUCUAUAAGUAACUACUUGAAUUAACACCUAAGAACUUUCAAACUUUUCUGGUCAUGCAAUCGGGUCCACGGAUACAAGGAGUAAAAUCUAUCACUCAACUCCUAGCAAUAACACUACCCGUCCAGUGUAUCCCAUCCGUUAACACAUAGCCAGAGACUUCGAAAACUCAUCUAUCACAGAUCCUCGUAAUCACAAUGAUACAAAGUAUGGCGAUACAUCCGGGCCUAUCUGCACCAAUACUGAGGAAACUAGACUCCUCUCGCCACUACUAGUAUUGAAGGAAUUUCGAACAUCCUCCGUCCUGAGAUACUAAGAAAUCUGAAUAAUAACGAUCUGCUCAAGAAUCCCCUGUAGCUCAACUCCCCGGAAUUAAAUCAACACAGCAGGAGGCACCAAGUCAGAACUCCGUCACAUCAACAUCAUAUAGAUUCCAAAAAUAUACGCAUGAUCCUAAAAAAAUUCGAGUGAGAAGAGGAGUAGAAUUAAAAUUUCCUAAGUCGUGAACCUCACCAGAGCAUAAACGAGGAGAAAAAAGAAACCUACUCUCCGAUAUAACAAAGACUCAAAAUAGUUUUUCACUAGACUCGACUCGGCCAAGUUCGAUGAAUCAAGGGGGCUCCUAGAUCGGUACAGCUCUGAUACCAACUUCUAAUGCCCAAGACACGGUCUUAUCCUUAUUUUGGCGUGAGGUCCUCGACAGGGAUAGAAAUGCAUUUCAGCGUUUCGCAAGAAUGGAUAUCGUUACAAGUACUUGUACUGAAAAGAUGAGUAUAAGGAGUUGGCUUACACUCGCCAAAAGCUACAUGACAGUCACAUCAAUACAACCAUAUACAAUCAUCACGAAGAAGAGCAGGGUCCAACUACGGACGAAAACAAACGAUAAAAUAACGAUGUCCGUCCUUGCUAUCCCAGAUUGCUGGCCUCGAACCCAUCCUAGAUCGAUGAAGAAGAAGAAAAAGCAACUCCAAAUAGCACAAUCAUCGCGCUCACGUCAUAAUAUCACUUUACAUGUACCUGCAACUAGUGUUGUACUAAUCUGUGAGCCACAGGGGACUCAGCAAUCUCAUUUCCAAAGGUAUCAAGACUAGCAAUGCUUAAUGGCUGAGGUAUGGUUAAGUGGUGAGGCUGCGGCAAGCGACUAAGCAUUUAUUUAUGGUGGCUAAUUUAUGAGUACAAGAAUAAAAGAGGGGGAUGAUCUACGCAUAGCAGACGUGAACUACUGAUAAUCUAAUGAUUGAUCUUGAACACCUACUUACGUCAUACAUAACCCCACCAUGUUCUCGAUUAGAGAAGGAGCUCACGAAAGAGACAGUCACGAUUACACACUCAGUUGGCAUAUCUUAAUUAAGCUUACUUCGAGUUAUGUAAAACCGGAUGUUAAACAAAGUUUCCAAGUUGUCACAUAACCGCGGCACGGAUUUCCGAAAGAUUUAACCCUCCAGGGGUGCUCCAACCACUCCAUCACAAAUUACUACAAGCCGCAUAUAAAUCCUCGAUCACAAAACUCGUGAUCUUUCGGACUCCUUAGUGGAAAACCUCAACUCUGAGAUUACCCGAAGUUUCACUGGAAUCCCGAUGCACAAGAUAUUUCGUAAAAGGUAAAAUUAAUCUAGCAAGGCCGCCUGGCGUGCCGACGGUCCCGAUAUGAGCCGCGUAUCCCGUUUUCAGGGCACGACCGGAUGGGCAAGACGUCGGGUUGGAUAAAACCAAAUGACCAGGGGCACCGGGCAUCGCCCGGUUUGGACCAACACUCAUGCGGAGCACUGGCCCGGGGGUUUAUUAAUUAUCCACGGGAUCCAGAAAUACCUUGUGCAAUUUUAUUAGGUUAUUAGGAAAAUGUUGUACCAAAGUUGGGCCUUCCCAGACCAGUUUUAAUCAAAACGAGUUAUCAAGGGGGUCCCCAUAACAACUCCGAUCGUGUUAGGAGCGCUCAAAUAUGGAAUAUAACAUCGGUAGCCAAAACUAAGGCAACAAAGGUGAAAGAAAACACCACGCUAGAAAGGCCGAGCCUUUCACCUUUUACCAAAUUUAUAGGUGCAUUAAAUUAAAUAGCAUUUAAUAGUUUGACAUAACAAAGAACACAUAUUAUCACAUGAAAGAAACUGCACCUACAACUAGCUAUGCUAACACAUGGGUAAGCAAGCGGUAACAUAGCCAAUUAGUGGUUUGCUAGGUUGUGAACAGUUUGAAGGUUUUCAUGGCAAUGUUCAGAGCCUGACAUUUAACAGGUGGUACACAACAAGACAUAGCGAAAGAAACGAAACAACUAGCAUGGCAUUGAUAGUAAUGAUAUCUAGGAAAAUGAUCAUUUUUCCUGAGAUCCUUUUUGAAAGAAGAAGGAGUCCAUUAAGCAAACGAUCUGACGUAGUAAAACGGGUCCUCACAUUCCGACACGCUUGCGGAUCUCUAUCGAGACGAAUCAAACCGGAAACAAGCAUCAACACUUGAUGUUCACCACACACAUGCACGAUAUGAUGCACACCCUAAUAUCAUGCAUGUUCAUUCCAAUCAUGCAAGGCAUGGCACGGCAAUUCACACAAUCAAACGCUAGACAUUAAAUGAAGCUCAAUAUGUAACGAGUUGCAUAUUGACGGAACUCCACAUUUAAUUAUUUAGUUCACUCCCAUUUAUUUACACGGCAAUAUUAAAUGUUGUUAAACAUGGCAAGGGGUGAAACACAAAUUAAAGUACCUAUCUAGGCAUUUUAAAUGAGGCCGAAAAUGACAUAUAGCAUCUCCAAACCGAUCUCACGCAUCACUUUGUAAUCUGCCUGGAUCUUACCUAAAUAUAUUUAUGUUUGUUAAACGACAAAACAAAGUGGUUCACACAAAACUACACGUCAUUCUAGUUGGUUUACAUAUAAAGUUCAUCCCCAAUGGAGCUACGGUCUAAAAAAUACAAGCAACACGAGAUCAUAUGUCAUGGAUGCAACAUGUGUGGAAAAUUAAAGCAAACAGAGAAAAUAUUAUGGUGCUGGAAAUUGAGCCAAGGACCUCAUCGAUGGAUGCAGUGGCUUUGUUAACCAGCUGGGCUGAUGCAUUGCAUGUGCUACAAACGGGACGGAUUUAAAUAAACGUGCUUCUCAAACUAACCUUGACCAAAACAAAAGUGAAGGACAAGAACAAAUAAAAGGAAAAUCUUUGUAGUGAUCCUUUAAAAACUCUACACGCCAAAACUGAUCCAGGAAAAGAAACAAAGUUUAGAUAGGAGUCUUACAGCGGGGAAACAACAGCCGACGACCAUGGCCUGUUAGGAACGGGCGAGGGAGAUCGGGGCCCUCCGGAAGUGGUGGAUCGGGACGAACACUUGGCAGGUUGAGGUCGACUGAUGGGCUGGGCUUGGCACCGCCAGCGCGGUCAACAACCGAGCGAGCUGUUGCUGCCCGUUACCUGAUGAACAAAAGCAACGUCAGGAGUCUGACGAAGCAGAGGACACGACACGGGAGGUCGUAGCGACGGGGUCGGCUGGAACCGGCCGGACCCGUGGCCACGUCAGCGGUGGAGCUCUGCUCUGAGGUGGGCUGUGGAAGAUCGUGGCACAACGAGGCGGGAGAACAAAUGAAGCUCCGACCAUGGCUCCUACAACAGACAGCUACGAGAGAUGAGGGAGAGAUGAGAGAAAUAGAGAGGGAGGAGGAGAACGACAUGGCGGGGAACUGACCAGCGUGAGAGCGACCUAGGCGUGGUGCUCAGGCAAGCGGGAUGCGGCGAGGCCCUAUUCGGCAUGGCUCAUGCGCACGGCGCCGGCGAUGCAGGGUCACGGCUCGAGGAAGUUCGCGUGACGUACUCGCCUGUGUUUGGGUUGCCAACCAUGAGGGCUGGCUUGGUGUCCCUAGCGAAGGGCGGCACGACGGCAAGCUAGUUGCUGGCUGCGUGGAUGGUGCGGCUGCUCCUGGGAGGAGCUCCUGGUUGAGGCCGUUGCGCGGCUUGGGAAGCCUCCGUUCAUUGGAUUAGUCCACGGAGGUCGGUGGUUGGCUUCAGAGCUAAUUGCUGCUGGUUGGAUGCGGCGCAAAACGAGGAGAAGUGUGCUCGCGCAUUUGUUUGGGAGGAUGAGAUUCCGAGGAAGGAGGAGGUGGGUCGGGUGGCGGCUGCGAGGGGAUUUGUCGGAUGGGAU
rnacentral:lncRNA from 1 species